AUAAGCAAAAUAAGGGCGUAUGGGGGAUGCCUAGGCUCUCAGAGGCGAAGAAGGACGUGAUAAGCUGCGAAAAGCUACGGGGAUUGGCACACACGAAAUGAUCCGUAGAUAUCCGAAUGGGGCAACCCACUAUGUUGAAGACAUAGUACACCGAUAGGUGAGCAAACCCGCUGAACUGAAACAUCUAAGUAGGCGGAGGAGAAGAAAACAAAAGUGAUUCCGUAAGUAGUGGCGAGCGAACGCGGAUUAGCCCAAACCAAUGUUGUUACGGCAAUAUUGGGGUUGUAGGACCACGAUAUUUCUUGCUAAUUGAAUUAGAACUACCUGGAAAGGUAGACGAUACAGGGUGAUAGUCCCGUAUAAGUAAGAGAGGAUAAGGAUAGUGGUAUCCUGAGUAGGGCGGGGCACGUGAAACCCUGUCUGAAUUUGGCGGGACCAUCCGCUAAGGCUAAAUACUCCUGAGAGACCGAUAGUGAACCAGUACUGUGAAGGAAAGGUGAAAAGAACCGUGAAUAACGGAGUGAAAUAGAUCCUGAAACCAUACGCUUACAAGCGGUCGGAGCAGCAUAAGCUGUGACGGCGUGCCUUUUGCAUAAUGAGCCUACGAGUUAACGUUGCUGGCAAGGUUAAGUGAUUAAGUCACGGAUCCGUAGCGAAAGCGAGUCUGAAUAGGGCGCUUUAGUCAGUAGUGUUAGACGCGAAACCGUGUGAUCUACCCAUGGGCAGGAUGAAGCUGUGGUAACACAUAGUGGAGGUCCGAACCGGUUGACGUUGAAAAGUCUUCGGAUGACCUGUGGGUAGGGGUGAAAGGCCAAUCAAACUCGGAAAUAGCUCGUACUCCCCGAAAUGCAUUUAGGUGCAGCGUUGGUUAUAAGUUAUAUAGAGGUAGAGCUACUGAUUGGAUGCGGGGGCUUCACCGCCUACCAAUUCCUGACAAACUCCGAAUGCUAUAUAAUGUUUACCAGCAGUGAGGGCUUGGGUGCUAAGGUCCAAGUCCGAGAGGGAAAGAACCCAGACCAUCAGCUAAGGUCCCCAAAUAUAUGCUAAGUUGAAAAAACGAGGUUUGUCUGCCCAGACAGCUAGGAUGUUGGCUUGGAAGCAGCCAUUCAUUUAAAGAGUGCGUAACAGCUCACUAGUCGAGCGGACGAGCAUGGAUAAUAAUCGGGCAUAAGCAUAUUACCGAAGCUAUGGAUUUUACGAUAAGUAAAGUGGUAGGGGAGCAUUCUAACAGGGUUGAAGGUGUAUCGUGAGGUAUGCUGGA
rnacentral:rRNA from 1 species